rnacentral:rRNA from 1 species
CCUACGGGUGGCAGCAGUGAGGAAUAUUGGUCAAUGGCCGGAACGCUGAACCAGCCACGUCGCGUGAGGGACGACUGCUCUAUGGGUUGUAAACCCCUUUUAUAAGGGAAGAAUAAAUGCUACGUGUAGCAUGAUGCCUGUACCUUAUCAAUAAGCCUCGGCAAACUCGGUGCCAGAAGCCGCGGUAAUACGGGGGAUGUGAGGGUUAUCCGGAUUUAUUGGGGUUAAGGGGUGCGUGGGCGGUUUGUUAAGUUGGUGGUUACCCGUCGGGGCUUAACCUUGAUUUGCCAUUGAUACUGUAAGACUCGAGUUCAGACGAGGUAGGCGGAAUAAGUAGAGUAGCGGUGAAAUGCUUAGAUAUAA